CCUACGGGUGGCUGCAGUGGGGAAUAUUGGACAAUGGGCGAAAGCCUGAUCCAGCCAUGCCGCGUGUGUGAAGAAGGCCUUCGGGUUGUAAAGCACUUUCAGUGGGGAAGAAAGCCUUGGGGCUAAUACCCUCGAGGAAGGACAUCACCCACAGAAGAAGCACCGGCUAACUCCGUGCCAGCAGCCGCGGUAAUACGGAGGGUGCGAGCGUUAAUCGGAAUUACUGGGCGUAAAGCGCGCGUAGGCGGUCUGAUAAGCCGGUUGUGAAAGCCCCGGGCUCAACCUGGGAACGGCAUCCGGAACUGUUAGGCUAGAGUGCAGGAGAGGAAGGUAGAAUUCCCGGUGUAGCGGUGAAAUGCGUAGAGAUCGGGAGGAAUACCAGUGGCGAAGGCGGCCUUCUGGACUGACACUGACGCUGAGGUGCGAAAGCGUGGGUAGCAAACAGGAUUAGAUACCCCGGUAGUC
rnacentral:rRNA from 1 species